GAGUCAUGAGGUGGACAACAGCUUCCACGCACCCUUUGGGUUAAAAGAGAUGCGAGAACAGCUGGCCUCGCCAUGACUC
rnacentral:ncRNA from 1 species